GCGAACGCUGGCGGCAGGCCUCACACAUGCCAGUCGAACGCACUCUUCGGAGUUAGUGGCGGACGGGUGAGUAACACGUGGGAACGUGCCUUUUGGUUCGGAAUAACUCAGGGAAACUUGUGCUAAUACCGAAUGUGCCCUUCAGGGGAAAGAUUUAUCGCCAUUAGAGCGGCCCGCGUCUGAUUAGCUAGUUGGUGAGGUAACGGCUCACCAAGGCGACGAUCAGUAGCUGGUCUGAGAGGAUGACCAGCCACACUGGGACUGAGACACGGCCCAGACUCCUACGGGAGGCAGCAGUGGGGAAUCUUGCGCAAUGGGCGAAAGCCUGACGCAGCCAUGCCGCGUGAAUGAUGAAGGUCUUAGGAUUGUAAAAUUCUUUCACCGGGGACGAUAAUGACGGUACCCGGAGAAGAAGCCCCGGCUAACUUCGUG
rnacentral:rRNA from 1 species